GAUGAACGCUAGCGGCAGGCCUAACACAUGCAAGUCGAGGGGUAACUAGAGUGAUAGCAAUAUUACUUUGGCUAGACCGGCGCACGGGUGCGUAACACGUAUGCAACCUACCUUAUACUGGGGAAUAACUUCGAGAAAUCGGCGCUAAUACCCCAUAACAUUGCGAAGAGGCAUCUCUUUGCAAUUAAAGCUCCGGCGGUAUAAGAUGGGCAUGCGUCCAAUUAGCUAGUUGGUGAGGUAACGGCUCACCAAGGCUACGAUUGGUAGGGGUUCUGAGAGGAUGAUCCCCACACUGGUACUGAGACACGGACCAGACUCCUACGGGAGGCAGCAGUGAGGAAUAUUGCGCAAUGGACGAAAUUCUGACGCAGCCAUGCCGCGUGCAGGAUGACGGCCCUAUGGGUUGUAAACUGCUUUUGUACGGGAAUAAACCCUUCUACGUGUAGGAGGCUGAAGGUACCGUAAGAAUAAGCACCGGCUAACUCCGUGCCAGCCGCCGCAGUAA
rnacentral:rRNA from 1 species